CAAUACGAUUCAAGUUGGUUGGUUUGAAGCCUCGGGCUCUGGAGCGACUUAAGAACUAGUCACACUUGAUGCAGCAGGAAGUGCUAAAAUGAGGAGGGAAUGAUCGUAAUAGACCUUUUGAAUUGAUGCCAACAUGUUUGCCAAAAGUGUAUAUGACCUGUCAACACAGCCGAGCCAAUCAAAUUGCCAGCUUCCAUCGUUCUUUGUUCCAAGGCAUUUAGAUCGCAGAGAACUGAACAACGCGCUUAUUGGGCAAAGCUUUUAACACGUUUCAGAGGUAGAGGAGACGUUUCAAGAACCCGGCGUGCUUUUCAAACAGUCCUGCGCCUGCCCAUCCCCUUAUUAGCCACUUCAGGGGCUUAAGUGGCUCUACAGAGUAACGGGCGGAAGGGAAGAGAUCACACUGGAACAGCGACCGCCUGGGAGGCGGGCGAUGCUGCACCCUGGGCCUUGGUUUCCACAAGAGCCCAUCGCCCCCUAGCGUAAAGGAUCAACCGAUAGAAACAACUACGACCACUUCGCAAUGUCUGAGAGAUCGUGGUUAAACUCUCUCUCUGGGGAGGAGGUGCCUUACGCAUAUUCAACAAUACAAUCUGCUUAGAUUGUAAAGCGCUUCCAUUCAGAGAAGUUCCUGGCCGCGCCGCCAUAAUUAAAAGUAUUGGAAGGGGUUACUCACCUCCCAACACUGUUCCAUCACACGCGGUUUUUCUGAACUUCCUCUGUGCUGAAAAAACCAUAUAAAUGUCAUUUCCUGAGUUUGGGCAGUUCGGGGUAAAAAUGCCCCCCCUUUCAAAGCGGAAUCCUAAGUUUAUUCACGUGUACAGCUUUGCAACCGGAUUUCUCUGGUAAUCAGCAUACGUUAUUUCAAUAUUUUUGGUAAUGUGGGAUUAGUUGACCCAGUAUACAUUUUCCAUUUCCUGGGAGAGAGAUGCAAACGUUCCCUGUAAAUAAAUUAACAGUAUAACAUUG